rnacentral:rRNA from 1 species
UACGGAAGGCAGCAGGGGGAAUAUUGCACAAUGGGCGCAAGCCUGAUGCAGCCAUGCCGCGUGUAUGAAAAAGGCCUUCGGGUUGUAAAGUACUUUCAGUCGUGAGGAAGGUGUUAAGGUUAAUAACCUUAGCAAUUGACGUUAGCGACAGAAGAAGCACCGGCUAACUCCGUGCCAGCAGCCGCGGUAAUACGGAGGGUGCGAGCGUUAAUCGGAAUUACUGGGCGUAAAGGGCACGCAGGCGGUUAAUUAAGUUGGAUGUGAAAUCCCCGGGCUUAACCUGGGAAUGGCAUUCAAGACUGGUUAGCUAGAGUCUUGUAGAGGGGGUAGAAUUCCAUGUGUAGCGGUGAAAUGCGUAGAGAUGUGGAGGAAUACCGGUGGCGAAGGCGGUCCCUGGACAAGACUGACGCUCAUGUGCGAAAGCGUGGGGAGCAAACGAGGGAUUAGAU